rnacentral:rRNA from 1 species
UGAGUGAAGAAGGUUUUCGGAUCGUAAAGCUCUGUUGUAAGUCAAGAACGAGUGUGAAAGUGGAAAGUUCACACUGUGACGGUAGCUUACCAGAAAGGGACGGCUAACUACGUGCCAGCAGCCGCGGUAAUACGUAGGUCCCGAGCGUUGUCCGGAUUUAUUGGGCGUAAAGCGAGCGCAGGCGGUUUGAUAAGUCUGAAGUUAAAGGCUGUGGCUCAACCAUAGUUCGCUUUGGAAACUGUCAAACUUGAGUGCAGAAGGGGAGAGUGGAAUUCCAUGU